rnacentral:rRNA from 1 species
GAUCCUGGCUCAGGAUGAACGCUAGCUACAGGCUUAACACAUGCAAGUCGGAGGGGGCAGCAUGAACUUAGCUUGCUAAGUUUGAUGGCGACCGGCGCACGGGUGAGUAACACGUAUCCAACCUUCCCGUUACUCUGGGAUAGCCUUUCGAAAGAAAGAUUAAUACCGGAUAGUAUCGAGAGAUUGCAUGAUAACCCGAUUAAAGAUUCAUCGGUUAACGGAUGGGGAUGCGUUCCAUUAGA